GAUAUUGUUAGAUUAAUUUUAUGGAACAUUAAUAACAGUAGUAGCAGCAGCAGCAACUGCAUUUAAUGAAUAUUGGCAAGUUGAGUGACUUUAUUU
rnacentral:pre_miRNA from 1 species